rnacentral:rRNA from 1 species
AGUGAACGCUGGCGGUAGGCCUAACACAUGCAAGUCGAACGGCAGCACAGUAAGAGCUUGCUCUUACGGGUGGCGAGUGGCGGACGGGUGAGGAAUACAUCGGAAUCUACUUUUUCGUGGGGGAUAACGUAGGGAAACUUACGCUAAUACCGCAUACGACCUACGGGUGAAAGCAGGGGAUCUUCGGACCUUGCGCGAUUGAAUGAGCCGAUGUCGGAUUAGCUAGUUGGCGGGGUAAAGGCCCACCAAGGCGACGAUCCGUAGCUGGUCUGAGAGGAUGAUCAGCCACACUGGAAGUGAGACACGGUCGAGACUCCUACGGGAGGCCGCAGUGGGGAAUAUUGGACAAUGGGCGAAAGCCUGAUCCAGCCAUACCGCGUGGGUGAAGAAGGCGUUCGGGUUGUAAAGCCCUUUUGUUGGGAAAGAAAAGCAGCAGGUUAAUACCCCGCUGUUCUGACGGUACCCAAAGAAUAAGCACCGGCUAACUUCGUG